rnacentral:rRNA from 1 species
UACAGAGGGGGCAAGCGUUAUUCGGAUUUACUGGGCGUAAAGGGCGCGUAGGCGGCGCAACAAGUCACUUGUGAAAUCUCCGGGCUUAACCCGGAGCGGCCAAGUGAUACUGUCGUGCUAGAGUGCGGAAGGGGCUACUGGAAUUCUCGGUGUAGCGGUGAAAUGCGUAGAUAUCGAGAGGAACACCUGCGGCGAAGGCGGGUAGCUGGGCCGACACUGACGCUGAGGCGCGAAAGCCAGGGGAGCGAACGGG